ensembl:miRNA
CUGCUGGCCGAGGUUCGGGUGGUGUGGAGCGGCCCUUUGCCCGGGCUCAGGGGUCACGCCGCCCACCCUCUGCCCCCAG